UUUUAUUUGAGAGUUUGAUCCUGGCUCAGGAUGAACGCUGGCGGCGUGCCUAACACAUGCAAGUUGAGCGAUUUACUUCGGUAAAGAGCGGCGGACGGGGGAGUAACGCGUGGGUAACCUACCCUGUACACACGGAUAACAUACCGAAAGGUAUGCUAAUACGGGAUAAUAUAUUUGAGAGGCAUCUCUUAAAUAUCAAAGGUGAGCCAGUACAGGAUGGACCCGCGUCUGAUUAGCUAGUUGGUAAGGUAACGGCUUACCAAGGCGACGAUCAGUAGCCGACCUGAGAG
rnacentral:rRNA from 1 species